rnacentral:rRNA from 1 species
UACAGAGGUCUCAAGCGUUGUUCGGAUUCAUUGGGCGUAAAGAGCUCGUAGGCGGCUUGUCGCGUCGACCGUGAAAACUCGCAGCUCAACUGCGAGCCUGCGGUCGAUACGGGCAGGCUAGAGUUCGGUAGGGGAGACUGGAAUUCCUGGUGUAGCGGUGAAAUGCGCAGAUAUCAGGAGGAACACCGGUGGCGAAGGCGGGUCUCUGGGCCGAUACUGACGCUGAGGAGCGAAAGCGUGGGGAGCGAACAGG